rnacentral:rRNA from 1 species
GACGAACGCUGGCGGCGUGCCUAAUACAUGCAAGUCGAGCGCAGGAAACUGACGGAACUCUUCGGAGGGAAGGCAGUGGAAUGAGCGGCGGACGGGUGAGUAACACGUAAGGAACCUGCCUCAAGGAUUGGGAUAACUCCGAGAAAUCGGAGCUAAUACCGGAUAGUUCAACGGACCGCAUGGUCCGUUGAUGAAAGGCGCUCCGGCGUCACCUUGAGAUGGCCUUGCGGUGCAUUAGCUAGUUGGUGGGGUAACGGCUCACCAAGGCGACGAUGCAUAGCCGGCCUGAGAGGGUGAUCGGCCACGCUGGGACUGAGACAAGGCCCAGACUCCUACGGGAGGCAGCAGUAGGGGAUCUUCCACAAUGGACGAAAGUCUGAUGGAGCAACGCCGCGUGAGUGAUGAAGGUUUUCGGAUCGUAAAACUCUGUUGUAAGGGAAGAACACGUACGAGAGGAAAUGCUCGUACCUUGACGGUACCUUACGAGAAAGCCACGGCUAACUACGUGCCAGCCGCCGCGGUAA